ensembl:lncRNA
UUUCUUUUCUUUUCUUUUCUUUUCUUUUCUUUUCUUUUCUUUUCUUUUCUUUUCUUUUCUUUUCUUUUCUUUUCUCUUCUUUUCUUUUCUUUUCUUUUCUUUUCUUUCCCUUUCCCUUUCCCUUUCCUUUUCCUUUCUUUCUUCUUAAAAUGCAGAAAACAAAAAGGACAGAAGACAUGGGGAAAAGCAAAAAAGCAUUUUCUCUUUCCUGCCAAACUUUAGAAAGAAGCAAACAGACAAAAACAAUUUAAAAUAAGGAUCUUAUGAAAUAAAAACAGAAAACAAGCAACAACAGCAACAACAAAAACCAACAUGAGGAUGUCUCAGCAGACUCUCCAACAGUACGGUUUUAAUCUUCCAGCUGCCUUACAUCCAGGCUUACAACUGAGGCUGAACUGCUAAUGCAAAUGCAGUAGAAGGCCUUCUGAAAAUGCUGUGAUACUUGUGUGUAUAACAUUUUCUUCCCUCUUCUUCUUUUAUUUUUUUUAAGAAAAGGAAAAAUGUAAAACAUUGCAAUGUGAUUGUCCACUACACCAUCCAUGCUGUGUUUGUGGCUCAAGACUGAGGCAACUGCAGAAGCGUGAAGAAAGCCGUCAGGCCUGAGACAGUGCGUCUCCUCUGGUGGAUUUCUGCAUGGUUUUGGUUUUCAUGGAGCAUCCGAGAGUUCAGAAUGGUGGGGGGAGCCCUGGCAGUUGUUCCUACUGAGUAUUUAUUUACUGGAUUGGGAUUUCAUUGAGUUUUCGGAUGUUUGAGAAAACUGGGCAAAAGCCAUUACUGAGGAGAAAAAGGGAGAAAAUUUUUGUAAGAGAGAAGUAAGAGAAGCCUCUUGUUGUGUUCAUGUAUGCCAAAUAAGAACUUCACACAUCUUGUCUUUGGAACCUGCCCCAGUUCACUGGACAUCUCCACUCUCCAUCUGGGAGAACUGUGUACAGAUGGAAAAGAAAGGGUCAGAUGCAGAGAAUGGAGAUCCAUUUCCCAUGAGCUCAAGCGUUGUAUGAUAUAAUUGCGAAUCUUCAAAUGGGAUUCUCUCUCUCUUUUGGUCUUUCUCUUUUUCCUGCUACUCCUCUUCCCGUUACCCCCUCCUCCCUUCACUCCUCUCUCCCCAUUGUUCAGGUCAUAGAUCCCAGAAGAGCUGACAGAACAGCCAAGCUUGCAGAUGGGGAUGUAUACCUUUGGGGGAAGCAGAGCAUUUUGGCUGUGAAGACAGCAGCUGCUCGCAGGGGAACAGUGGCUGAGGGGAAGGUGAGGUGAAAGGCCAAGGCUGUAACUAAAGGGAGCUGGAAGAGGCAACUGCCAAAUGGCCCUGUUCAGGAAGUGAUGGCACCACCAAUAAAUGAGCAGGCAAAGGGAGAUAGGGCAGAGAAAAAAAGUCCCCCACAGAACAAGCCAGUCCAACAUGCUCUUAAUUCAGGGAUAGUUACAUCGGUCUUUUAUUACACCUGAUAUCUGCAUGCCAUCAGUUCUCAUUUGAUGAUAAAAAUCAUCUAAUUGUGCCUGACCUGGGGCUCGCAGCUCAAGAAAAGUUGGAGCUGCUAGAGCAAGUCCAGAGGAGGGCCACAAAGAUGAUCAGAGGAAUGGAGCACCUCUCCUAUGAAGACAGACUGAGGGAGUUGGACUUGUUUCGCUUGGAGAAGAGAAGGCUCCGGGAAGACCUCAUUGCAGCCUUCCAAUACUUGAAGGGAGCUUUUAAAGAGGAGGAGGACAAACUUUAUACACAGUCUGAUAGUGAUAGAACAGUGGGGAUAGGCUUUAUACUAAAAGAGGGGAGAUUUAGGGCAAAUGUUAGGGAGAAAUUCUUUACUCAUAAGGUGGUGAGGUGCUGGAACAGGCUGCCCAGACAGGUUGUGGAUGAAGCAUUCAAGGCCACUUUGGAUAGGGGCUCUGGGUGACAACCCUGCCCAUGGCAAAGGGUUGGAACUGGAUGGGAUUAAAGAUCCCUUCCAACCUAAGCCAUUCUGUGAUUCUAUGACCUCCUGAAUCUAUGAAAUCUCACAAGGAUAAGGAGGCAAUCUGCUGAAAUGAUGCCUGCACAGAAAUAAAGACAUUAACUCCAGAUCAUGCUAUUUACACAGCCAUCAGGAAACAGCAUUUUGACUCAUUAGAAAAAAAUCCAACCAAGAAAUAAUUUUUAUGCAAUGCAAUUGCAUAGCCAGCCAUUCCCCUUUCAGAUCUGCUUUCCCUCCCUGUUACACCUUGUGUGAUGAUGUUCCUUUUUGUUAACAGUGUCCAAAGAAAUAAAGUUUCUGAAGGCUAUUUUGGAGUAGGGUAGAUUUGGUUUUCUUUCACUCCUGCUCAGCUACUUAGCAUUUAUGUUCUUUGGUUUACAAAUUCCCAAAACAUGCCAAUGUCAGCUGCCAAGUCAAUGUGUUGCCACUGAAAUGCCAUCCCUGGCAAGUGAAGUUCUGUCAUUUCGUUCUCCAUUAGAUCUGACUGGAGAAAGUAAGUAUUUAUUGAUUCAUGUUGAAAAUGGAAACCUUUCGAAGAAACUUGCUUUUUAAGUAGAUUGGAUUUUUUUUUUUCCUCUGGCAGUGUUUUCAAACAGGGUGUUCUGAAAAGCUUUGAAACUGUUUGAAUGUGCAAAUGCUCACUAGAUGAGGAGGCUGAUGAGUUACCAUCGGACGGAAGGGAAUUAGAAAUAAAAGCAGUUCUUGGAAAGCUAAAUUGAAACUGAAAGCAUAAAACCAAUAACUGAAAACUAAGAGAGACCUUUAAAAUAUGAAACAUUUCAAACUAUGAAAGAUUUUGAGAAAAGGCAACUUCUCAUAAAGGUGUUAAUGCUUUAUGAAACUGGUACUUGUUUCAUUAAAACAUCUUUGAACACAAACGUUCUUCUUCCUCUGCAGUUCUGAGUGUGGUAGGGAAACUCCUUCAUGUGACUAGAGAUACCUGGAGUGACCUCACUAGACCAAAAGGCAGAGGGGUUUCUAGCUGGUGUCUGCCAUUGGGUCCUGUGGCAUGGAAAGCAGUAUGACAGCUCCUGUGGUGGUACACAGCCUUGUGUGAGCCGUGACAAUUCACAAAGUGUGUUCUUUUCAGCUGGAGUUUUGAAGGAGCUGUAGCAUUAAGACUGAAAGAAAUUGAAGUCAUUUUGCCGUUUCAUGGACUCUCGACUCUUCUCUAUGCAGCUGGCAUGAAAAUAGUUCUGCCUUGAUGAAGUACUCUCUGAAGGUGUUGGUUGGUUUACAAGCUGUGUACGAGCUGAGUGCUGGCCUGUGUUUGGUGAUUGUGGGAGAGGGUUACGCUCAUUUUUCUUUAUAGCAGGGAAGCGUUAACCCUGGAUCUUUAGGCCCGGUUUGUGAUUUUCCACUCAUUAUAGCACAGCCUCUCAGGCCUGUAUGAGCAUGAAGUGUGUUAAAAGUGUGGGUGUAAGUGCCUGAAGCAGCAGGUGAAUACAGAGCUUUAAUGUCAGACUGGAUUCCUAAAGGGACCACCUGUCCAGACAGCAGUUUUGGUGCACAUCUUUGCCUGAAACAGGGGCAAAACCCCUUGGGAAUUUUUCAGUCUCUUUCUGUGCUGCUCACAGCCUCAGGAGGAGCCCCAAAGGGCCAUGAGCAGUGUGAGGUGGGCCGAGAGCCUUACCUGUUGGCUUGCACUCAUCUCUAGAGCAGGGCUGACCCAAGAUACAUCCAGAGCCAAAUCUGUGAUGGUUAGCAACUAUGUACAUCCAGAGCCAAAGCACACUCCCAUCUAGUCUAAGCUUCUGCAUUUUUGGGAGGCUUUGAAAUAUCCUUCUGACCUGAGAUUCAAGCUUUCCAACUAGUGUCUGGUUUACUAGUCUGAGCAGUAGUCAGAAACCUGUCAGAUGUGCUCCCCACAUUUAGGGUCUUGGCCCUGUCUCUCAGUCUGCUCCAGGGAAGUGUUCAAGUACAUACUUUACUUCAAACAUGUGACUGAUUCCAUUGCCUUUGGUAGACUAUUCACAUGCUUAACGUUAAGAAUGUGCUUUUCUGGGUGAUGUUCAGCUUCCUUCAGAGUCUAGCCCCUGUUCUUCUUUUCCUAUCCUGUGCUUGUAGAUAUUGUGAUACCCUUGUCCUAGCCUGAUGCAGGUGCUUGUGCUCCCUCCCUUUUACAGGAAGCUGUUCCCAAGGAAGUGGGGUGAAUUGCCUCAGUGCUCUGUGGUGUGUAGGCUGAGGCUUUUUUUACAGUGAGCCUCCAGUUCUUGUACAGUAAGGUUGUUCUGUGAUGGCGGUGAGUUAGUUGCAAUGGCUUCUACCUCUAUCCCUGCCAGGGCACUGUGUGGGAGCCCUGCAUGGGGAAAUAUUGCAGGAAUCUAUGUGCUAUAUAUCUUAUGGACUCUUAAGACACCAUCUUCAAGCUAAAGCUGUUCGCAUGUUAAAACUCCUGACUCAUAGUGGCCACCUGUAUAUAUCAUCUCUCCUUUCUUCCUCUCUGCAAACACAGACCUUCCCUGAUCUAAAUAGUACAGUCCCUCAAGUCAUAUUUCUAGUUGGGCUUUUAUUUCUUUCGCUCUACCCCAGGGGCAGUCACAAGUGGAUCAGAAGCCACCAGUGACCGGGGCAAUUUCUUUGAAAUACUGCUUUUAAAAAACUGUCACUACUUUAGAAAAUGUUGUUUCAGCUACAGAAAGAAAUGAAAGGAAGGAAAAAAAAGCCACCAAAAUAAAUAAAUAAAUAAAAAUAACCCUCAGAGUCCACUCCUCUAACCCAGAGGAUCCUGUCCUCCCAGAAGAGACCCAUGAGAGUGCAGGUAUUCUGCUUUCCUGCAGACACAAGCCGUUUGGGAGCACUUUUAGCCGUGGCAUGCUAGCUGUGCACUUCAUCAGACGAUGAGCAAAACAGCAUUGGGAAGGGAGAGGAUUGCUAUGCAGGGGAUAUCUCAGAUUCCCAUGCGUUCAUGGAAGACUGUGUCUCCAUGGCUGUCCAUUUACUCACCAUGCAGCACCUCCAAACCGGGCUCAUCCCCGGAGGCCCACUGAUAAGCAGAGCUCAGAAGAAAAUCACUGUAAUCUGUCCUUAAUUCUUGAGUGCCAAGCUAACUCCCAGGAGCAAAAUGGAGAGGAAAUAAUAUGUUACCAAGUAUAGCUUAAAUAAAGACAUAUAUUAUUUGGGCUCUUUCUUCCUUGUGUCUCUAUGUAGGCUUAGAAGGGCUAUAGGGCUGCUUGGGUGCAUCCACACAAAUCAUCCCUGUGUAUCAGCACCACAUUUCCUUGCCCCCAGGUUUUGCACCCUUUCACAGCCCUUCCUGUUGCACUCAUCCAGUCAGCAAGGAAAGGUUCAAGGUGAAAGACUGAGACAUUUCUGAAUAAUUGCCAGGCACCACUGAGAGUUGAGGAGUAAAAAGCCUGCAUGAAGCACAUUAAGCAUGUAAAGGUUAGUGAUGGGUGAAUAUCCAAGGCCAGGAGCUGAGUUUCAAAUAAUCCAACUCCAGACUCCCCAUAAGAUCUUGAUUUGCCAGUCUAAGCUGAAAAGCUCAUAAAAACAGGGCUUAACUCAACACUCAGUGCCCCACGGUUUCCAGUAACAGCCACCAGUAUAAUGCAUGUGCUCCAUAUUGCAUACAUUGAAGUCUAUAGAAAGCGUCACCUUGGCUCCAGUGAGUUUUGGAUCAGGUGCCUCAAAAAAUAUUUCAGCGCUGUCCUGGUUAGUGCUGAAAAUGAAAUGCGUGCUUAAAUAUAUGCAUUUAUCUAAUGAUUGGCUUUAUAAAUAAAUCAGCUAUUAUCUUUUUUCCCCUGAUUUAUUUUUCCCAUUCUGUCUUCCUCCUCAGGUCACUAAUACCCCAAUCCUGUAGCUUUCUUCAGAGCCAUCAUAGCUAGAGAUUGCAGUGCUUUUUAAAACAAAGGACCAACUGCUGGUGCCAGCAGACUCUGACAGGUUUGCUGUUGACAUUGCUGGGAGAACUGGAGCCUAACAGAAUGCUGCUAGCUUAAGUGUAGUAUGCUAUGCACAUGUUUAGGAUAUUACUUCCAGAAAAAGCCUGGCAACUGCCUCAAUAUAGGCCACAAGAGGGAAAUGAAAUGCUGGUCACCUUUAGUAAAACACUCCAGAGUCACAGAUCAAUUGUCCUUUCUUGCUAAGGAGAGACUGGGAAUGAAAAUAACUGAGGCUUAGAUAGGUUAUCCUCAGGGGGAGGUGGGGAGUGAAAAAAAAGGAAACCAAGCAGCAGUUGCUUUAGGUCAGACUUGAUGGGCAUUGGUUUUGUUACGUGAGGACAAUCCAAUGACAACCACAGCAUCAGGAGCCUGAGCUGUCAGUCCCUGCCCAGACUAUACUUCUGUGUCUUUCUUUUACUGAUUAACUCUCCUGCACAGUGGCAGAAAAUACCCUCAAAAGUUUUCUAGACUAGGGUGUAUAUAUGUGGACACCCUCAUUCCCCUCCUUCCUUAGCCACACACAAACAUUCAUGCCCCAGUUGAUGUGGGUAGCCCGGAAAUAUGCGCAUUAUGUGCAGAGGAGGUACAUAGCAAAAUACAACAUAAUAGUUUGUUUUCUAUUCUUUUGUACUUAGCUCAGGAGUUGCAGUGCCAUUCAGGUGUCAUCUGCAUCUGUGUUAGGUUGUGUAUGCAGAUCACACAUAAAAUCUCUGCUGAAGAGAAGUGGGGAGGCACAAGAGAGCUGGUGUGAAUUGGAUACUUGCCACGAGAAAGUAUUUGAAUACUUAGAGAAGAGCUGCCAGUGUUGUUCUAAUCCCAGAGGUGUAGGGAAAGGAAGCAGCUGAGACACAGAUGUAUGUUUCUUUCUGCCUGCUCUGCCUUUGGGCAGGAUAUAUCCAGCAAAAUGGGGGGCAGGCAGCAGCUCAGAGCAGUAACAUCCUGAAACACCACCGCAAGACUCCAGAGCCGACUAUCGGUGCUCUUAAAUAUGGGAUUUAUGCACAGCUACUUCUGCAUCCAACCAGUCUUGAGCUGGCAAUUCUACCUCGGAAGACAGUUGUGCCCACAAGUCCUCACUAAUUUCUAAUGCUACAGACCCCAGCAGUAACCACUCGUAUGUGGUACAAAUGGGAGAGCCUUGGUGUUCGCAAUUGCUUCUUGCAACCUGCACUUAGAAGGUGUUUCUGUAAAACAGGUGGCCAGUUUUCAUAUUUGUCACGAGAGAAGAAAAGGCACCGUAUCACCUCCAACUCAGAAAAGUUUGCAAUCCCCUUAUGUAGAAAUGCUGCUGGAUGAGGGGCAGCGCCACACUGCCUGAGUCUUACUGCUGUCCUCUGCUGAGAGCUAUGGGUGGCUCCUGGUAUCGCCAUGGCUGCACGUAAUGGGGCUCAGCACUGCAGGGAGCUUUGCAUCCCUGUGGCUCUGUGCCUGUGGUGGCGUGGCAUGGGAAUAGCGCUGCAAAAGCAAUUCCUUUCAAGUGGCCUUGUUAUUUUUCCAACUGGUCAGAACUUCCCAAACAGCAACAGUGAUUCUGAUAGAGUCAAGUCUUCAAAAAGCAGCGUGACCUGCGGGUUUAGCUCCGGUUUCAAGGGGAUGUAGACACAGUGAGUGUCAGUCAGAUGGGGCUCAGUCUCCCGGGGCCGAUUGCACAGAAGAACCACAGCUUCCAGUCCCUGUUCAGACAGCAGAUAGGCGUGUUCUUGGUCCAGCAUCGUUUUUAAAAACCACGCACGCUCCUAAUUUGCUUAAGCUCUUGUGAAGUUGUGUCUGAAGAAUAGUUUUCAUCUGUCCGUAGAGCAUAAGACUACCUUUUUAUGAAGGGUUUUCCUUUAACAAUAUAGAUCAUAAGAAAAAAAAAACAGGUAAUCAUAACAACAGAAUAGAAGCGCAGCCUCAGACUACUCAGCAAGGAGGUACUGAAUUAUUUAUAACUCCUGGGCACCAGUAACAAUCACAGACAUCUAAUUUAAACUCUUACUAUUUUUACUCGGCAAUUUCCAUCCGUUAACAUGUUUGUGUUCAUGCAUUUGUGUUUGAUCUUCUGCAGGACAAAACUCCCCCCACUUACACACACAAAAAAAACCAUACCUGGGGACUUGUGAAGAUACUUUUCUACAGUAACUUAAAUUACUUUAAAGCAUUUUGAGAUCUACUGUGGCAGAGGUUACAACUUUCAAAGCUGUAAACUGUACCUAAAAUUGGCUUGAACCUUCAGUUUCUUUCAAAGUGAAAUUCCCCAUGAUUACAGGUCAAUAGGGUCAGUGGGAAGUUUGCUUCAUUAAAACUGUAAAACAGGGUCCUCUUUAGACACCUCCCAUUCAGUCAUUGACAUUGGAGGUGUUCGGGAAAAGGGUAGAUGUGGCACUGAGGGACGCGGUCAGUGGGCAUGGAGAGGAUGGGCUGACAGUUGGACUGGAUGAUCUUAGUGGUCUUUUCCAACCUUAACAGUUCUAUGAUUCUAUUUAUGUGUGUAUGUGGUGGGGGAACUUCGGCAAGGCGGGCUGUAUUUAUAUGUCAGCCCACUUCAGGAGCUUUUGCAUAAGUAUGGUGACAGCCACCACUAAGUCACUUCAAAUUUACACCAAUGUUCUUUUUGAUAAAAAUAACCAACCAUUAUACUUGUGUGUGGCUGGAACAAUGCAGUGGUAAAUGUCGCCCAUAGGCUGAUAGACGUAUACAUGUAUAUAUGUAUAUAUAUGUAUAUAUAUUUGUAAAUUUAUGAAAAAUGUCCAUAGAGUCACGAUUGCCUGAAAUAAGCUGAGGCCGAUGUACAGAAUUUCAGGCAAAGGACUGUUUCUUUUCCAUAAUCCCCAUGUAUCUCAGAUUCAAAUUAAAGCAAAUUAAAGAGUAUCAUUUCCUAGGAAAAUCCCAACUCUGCCAUUGCACCAGUCAGCAGCACACAUACACCACACCUGUACGUCCAGUCGCAGGACUGGGUCUCAAGGGCUUCUCUAAGGAAGAGAAAUGGACUGCAAAAGCCAUGAUAGAAUAUCAGUUCCACCUUAGUUCUCUAGAUAGGUGCACUCAUCCUUUAUCAAGAAGCCCUUUGUACAGAUGCUUUUCUGCACUAAGUGUAUGUCUGUGAGGGGUCUCUCUGUGCGUGAAGUCAAGCUACAUAGCUAAACAAAGGCCUGGAUCUUCUGAUCUGAAUUCAUCCCCACUAACCCUGGGCAGUUAACUGAGCUGCCGGUGUUAACAGGAUCAUCUGCCUUGGUUUCUUGGAUAGUUAUUGGAGAGAGACAUUUGCUUCUCAGUGGUAACUCAGUAAAGCUGAGCUCUAAUUCAGCUUUAGGAACUCCUUUUCCCUCCACAGGGAGGCCACUGACCUAUCUUGGGUAGUUCUGAGGUCCAAAAAGAUCUUAAAUCCUAGUGGGAAGACUCGGGCACCUUGUGCAGAAGAGUAUCCAUGCGGAGGUCAGUUGUGGCCCUGCACCCACCACGCAGCAUGCAGGUGUGAAACGUGGAAAACUGUUGGAGCAAAACAAGAGGUUCACAGCAGUCUUCCCCUCUCCAAAUUGCAAGACAACUGCAAAGCACAGGGAUUGCCCCAGUUCCUGCAAAAUUGCAUUUGAGGUGGGUUCUUUAUGGUGCUCUCCAGUCAUAGAUCACUGGAUGGUGCCAGUGCUGAACGUCAGAGAUCUUUAGUCCAAACUCUUCACCAUUCUCUGCCAGUCCUGAGCAUUGCUGAAGCAGUCCAGUGAGUGAAUUGACAUUCUAAAAGUUUAAAUUGCUAAACUGUUCUGAGGUUAGUCCCUUCCUCUUUAUCUCCAUACUGGCCUGGAAAAUGUCAUCUAGCUUCAAGGAAGAAUCAAAAAUUCCGCUCCAAGGUACAGUUUGGGUAAUUUCCUAUUUGUUUUUUUCCAAUGUUAAUAACUGCUUUACAAACAGCUUACAUGGAGAUUAAAGAGAUUGCAAUUUCAUCCCUUAUUGUUGGGAUUAUCGUUGUCCUCAGAAAAACUGAACCAGGGACUCAACAAGAGAAUGAACUGUGACUAUACUAUUGAGAAAGCUGCUCUGGCAAGGCUGAACACAUGUCUCCAUCUCAUGGUGAGAGUCUCUCAGAGCUGAAAUCAGGUAUUGAGACCAAACUGGUCUGGGAGGACCAGCAAAUUAAUCAAGUAUAAGAACUCUGAAGCACUUAUAUAUUCCCAUAUUUUACCUGACCAAAGCAAACGCAGACCAAGGAGUGGAGGAAUUAAACCAGUUCCUGAAAACUCCAGGGCUAAGUGAACUUCAGCUGCGGUGGCAAUAGGUGGUUGCUACUGUUUAUUUCCACAGCUAGAUUUAAGUCAGGGACUUGUCAGUGCUUGCCCAUCUCUCAGAACAACUUUAUUUUUAAAAAUACUGUUCAGGUUAUGGCGAGAAGGACUUCAGAUGGCCUGUAGGAACCUAUACAGUAAAUAUUUAAUGCUGUGUGUCGAUACUUAGGGAAAGCCGGGCAAGAAAAUGGAAGAGAAAACUGAGAUCAAGGGAUCAGAAGUUGUUUUCCAGCACAGUACCUUCUUGUCCAGUCUGUACUGUUUCAUUCUGAUGUUCCUCUCCUGUCAUCCUUUCCCCUUUUUUAAGGACUCAGAUGUGUAUAUCUCCCUUUUCCUCUCUCUGUGUGAGAAUAUAGAGAUGCUUCCUGUAAAGAUGUUUAUCUCUAAAUCCCAUUCCGAACUGACUCUUGCAUAUGUGACUGUUUUGUUAUUUGAGAUGUCUGUGAAAAAGAAAUAAAGGCUAUAAGAGCGAACUCUGGAAAUGAGGAGAAGCUUGCAAAUAAAUCAAACUUAAGGAUUCGGCAUCAUUUGCUGCACAACUUUUGAGUACGGUCCUAAAAUUUCUUCUUUGUCCUCUCCCAUUCCCUCUCAGUGAGAGGGAUGGGGACGAUCCUGGGAUAUGGGACCCAGCUGUUGCUCUGCAUGUAAAUGUUGCUCACUGUAUCCCACAAUGGUUUUGCAGACUUCUCAGAGGUUUACUAUCAAGGGCAACCUCUUGUUAAAAGGCGAUGAAGUCCCUGUGCAACAUCACGUGGGAGGGAGGCUUUGUGGGGUGAUCCUGUCCCCCUUCUUUACAACAGCCCUGUGCAUCCAGACGUGAGCACUGUCCUCCCUGCUGCAUUCUCCAUGCCACGUUUGGAUUAUCUUCCUGGAGAAUGUUCCACUUUCUCUUAAGUAAGCCGUCUCACCUCCUAAUGAAAGCCAUAAUUGCUCCUGUGACUCCGCAGCAUGGAGUGAGCGUACAGCCUCCUGUGGGACAGCAGCCAGGCCUCAGCACCAAACUGACCCCAGAGGCAGGCAGGAGAAUGGACACAGCAUGUGUGGCCAUCUCAGCCCACCGUGUCCCUCAUGGACCACACUGCCAUUUUAGGCCUGUUGGGUCUGACUUCUCCCAGUCUCACGCAAUCCUACAGCAAAUCUGUACAGCCAUGGAGGCAGGGGUCAGUGAGAAACCAGACUCACUGUACUCUCUCAUCCACAGCUGGUGCACCUCAUGCAGACGUGGAAUUUCUUCUGCCACAAGUAAUACUUGCCUUAGCCAUGGUUUACCACACUAGGCAAACAAAUUUGGAGGGUUCCCCUUCCAUAACUCCCUUGUCAGUUCUCCGUUCCUUAAGGAAAAGCAUCUUUUUGCUGAAAGGAAAUGAAACAACUCCCAUAACAUCUCCAUCAUUCAGUGAUGACAACAGUUGCAGUCGCCACUUUCUCUAACUGACAGUUUGGGAGGCUUAGCUUAGUAAUUCACUUAAAUGCCUUCCGCUUCUCUAGGGUAUUCCCAAGUACAAUGAUAGGACUGGUACAAGGCAUUUGUCAUGCGAAUGCAUCUUGGCCAGAUGUUUAUGUUUCUUCUAAGUGCAGCACACGCAUAUCAAAGCUAGAUUAGAAAAGAGUACGUCUUUUCUAAUGCUAUACAACUCAGGCAUAUUCAGAGAACUGCAUCGAUAUGUUUCAUAUUCCUAGCAUGUUUUCUCUUCAGAAGAUGCUGUAAAUGUGAGUCACAUCAGACCUGUUAGAGGCAGGUCAGUAUUAUAGCCAUUUUAGAAACAGGAAAUCAAAAGCCUGGGAAGAAAUGUGAUGUUUAGCAGUUUGGCGCCCCUCACAACUUCCAGUAGCUGCAAGUAGAGCCUCCUGUUUUCAGCGCUUUCCAACACCCAAACUGCAGCUGGUUUGUCCCAGUCUGCAGUGGCUGUAAAGGUGAAAGCCAGGAUGAGGACACUCGAGAUCCUGCCUUCGUGAGAACGCUGCUACAAAGCUUUGAUCCCACAAAGCACGUAAGCACUUGCCUAAUUUCAAGCAUGAAUGUCCCAUUAACGAUGUUAUCACCAUGCUUAAAGCUAGGCACAUGCCUAAUUGCUUUGCUAGACUGGGAAUUAUAUUAAAAUAUACUAAACUUUAGGCUAUUUUGAAAAUCCAGAAAUGUGUUCAUUUCUGAUUAUGCUUCAGGCAUUGUCAAGGACAUCUGAAGUAUGAAUGAAGUAGCUCAGCCAAGAGGAGCACUUUUUAGCCAAUAAAGAAAGAGUUUAAUGAGUUUGGGAUGUUAACAUCCUGUUGUCAUGAGUAAUCGAGGCUGGGAUGUACUGCAAGGGUUUUACUUCUGCACUGCUGCAAGGAGCAAAGUGGCUCCUGUAGCCAUUGGUGCUAACAAAAAAUAACAAUGAAUGACUACUGCCUUAGGUCAUUCUAGGGUGGCGUGAAUGUGUUGGCUAAUUUCACAAGUGAUGCUCCAUCAUAUCAAAUGUACUGUACUUUCCAUCGCUUCCUGUAAAUUACCGCAGAAGAGGUGAACAGAAGUUGUUAAAAUACGACACAAACCCAAACUUCUUGCCCCGUUAUAAUCCAAGGUGCUAAUCUGCAGACACACGGGCAUUUGGGUACGUGCAUUCGUGUUUGCAGGACCAUGGCCCUGAAGGAUCAUUUUCAUGUCAGGGUUGAGAUCAGGGAACUCACAUGGGGAACUGAGAAACCCCUGUGACUUUGAAAUGGCAAAAGUUGCAGAAAGCAUCACAGGAUUUUGUCCCCAAACUGGCUACAUCUAACAGUUUUCCUUUUGAUUUUUUCCUUGGUUCGUUUUGUUUCUAUCCAAAUUGGCAAAGAACACUGUAUUUCCAUCAAUUACGGUCCUGCCUGGUAGCUAACUAAACAACCUGUUCAUGGAAAACUAAGAAAUAAAUAAGUAAACUGUCAAUUGUGGAAUGUAAACUGAUUAAACAAAUAAAGAACUCAUGUUGUGUGUUUUAAGAGACCGUCUGCUUGUGUCAGGAGUGGGGACAGGCACCUCACACCUCACUGCCCCAGCUGAAGGAUGGAGGGAAAAGAGGAGCUGGGGGCCCACCAUUUUCUAGCUGAUAGCUCUUCCUGAGGUGAAUGGGUUUUGCAUUUUGUAGGAUGGAAUCCUUCUCGCCACCAAGGAGGUCCUGUCUCAGGUAUUGGUUGCAACAAGGAACAGAAUGGAGCAUGAACGAAGGAGACAGCACUUGCCACCUGCCUGCUCCUGUGAGUAAACCCUGUGGGGCUGAACAGAGAGGCGUGGGGAAUGAGCUCGUCAGUGGGUUUGAAACUGGCAAACCCUCAGGGCAAGUGAAGUGAGCUAAGGCUGU